UACGUAGGGGGCAAGCGUUGUCCGGAGUUACUGGGCGUAAAGCGCACGCAGGCGGUCGCGUAAGAGUGCGGGGACAGUGGGCGGCUUAACUGCCCAAGGGUCGCACAGACUGCGUGACUGGAGGACCAGAGAGGGACCUGGAAUUCCGGGUGGAGCGGUGAAAUGCGUAGAGAUCCGGAGGAACACCAAUGGCGAAGGCAGGGUCCUGGCUGGCACCUGACGCUGAGACGCGAAAGCGUGGGGAGCAAACAGG
rnacentral:rRNA from 1 species